UACAUGGGGUGCAAACGUUGCUCGGAAUUAUUGGGCGUAAAGCGCGCGUAGGCGGUUACUUAAGUCGGAUGUGAAAGCCCUCGGCUUAACUGAGGAAGUGCAUCCGAAACUGAGUAGCUAGAGUACGAAAGAGGGUCGCGGAAUUCCCGGUGUAGAGGUGAAAUUCGUAGAUAUCGGGAGGAACACCGGUGGCGAAGGCGGCGACCUGGGUUGAGACUGACGCUGAUGCGCGAAAGCGUGGGGAGCAAACAGG
rnacentral:rRNA from 1 species